GAUGAACGCUGGCGGCGUGCCUAACACAUGCAAGUCGAGCGGCAGCGAGGGGUGCUUGCACCCUGUCGGCGAGCGGCGGACGGCUGAGUAACGCGUGGGAACGUGCCCCAAAGUGAGGAAUAACUGCCCGAAAGGGUAGCUAAUACCGCAUAUUAUCUUCGGAUCAAAGGAUUUAUCCGCUUUGGGAGCGGCUCGCGUCGGAUUAGGUAGUUGGUGAGGUAAUGGCUCACCAAGCCGACGAUCCGUAGCUGGUCUGAGAGGAUGACCAGCCAGACUGGAACUGAGACACGGUCCAGACUCCUACGGGAGGCAGCAGUGAGGAAUCUUCCACAAUGGGCGAAAGCCUGAUGGAGCAACGCCGCGUGCAGGACGAAGGCCUUCGGGUUGUAAACUGCUUUUAUAAGUGAGGAAUAUGACGGUAACUUAUGAAUAAGGAUCGGCUAACUACGUG
rnacentral:rRNA from 1 species